AUUUGCUAGAGGCAGCAGCACUGGCUACAACAUCUCCAGAGGUAGCGGUGUCCACUGCUGUGCUCCCAGAGGACAUGGUGUCCACUGUAGUUUCUUCGGAGGUGGCGGCACAGGCUGCA